GAGGUAACGGCCCACCAAGGCGACGAUCGGUAGCCGGACUGAGAGGUUGAACGGCCACAUUGGGACUGAGACACGGCCCAGACUCCUACGGGAGGCAGCAGUGGGGAAUAUUGCACAAUGGGGGAAACCCUGAUGCAGCGACGCCGCGUGGAGGAAGAAGGUCUUCGGAUUGUAAACUCCUGUUGUUGAGGAAGAUAAUGACGGUACUCAACAAGGAAGUGACGGCUAACUACGUGCCAGCAGCCGCGGUAAAACGUAGGUCACAAGCGUUGUCCGGAAUUACUGGGUGUAAAGGGAGCGCAGGCGGGAAGACAAGUUGGAAGUGAAAUCUAUGGGCUCAACCCAUAAACUGCUUUCAAAACUGUUUUUCUUGAGUAGUGCAGAGGUAGGCGGAAUUCCCGGUGUAGCGGUGGAAUGCGUAGUUAUCGGGAGGAACACCAGUGGCGAAGGCGGCCUACUGGGCACCAACUGACGCUGAGGCUCGAAAGUGUGGGUAGCAAACAGGAUUAGAUACCCUGGUAGUCCACACCGUAAACGAUGAUUACUAGGUGUUGGAGGAUUGACCCCUUCAGUGCCGCAGUUAACACAAUAAGUAAUCCACCUGGGGAGUACGACCGCAAGGUUGCAACUCAAAGGAAUUGACGG
rnacentral:rRNA from 1 species